AUUGAACGCUGGCGGCAGGCCUAACACAUGCAAGUCGAGCGGAUGAAGGGAGCUUGCUCCUGGAUUCAGCGGCGGACGGGUGAGUAAUGCCUAGGAAUCUGCCUGGUAGUGGGGGAUAACGUCCGGAAACGGGCGCUAAUACCGCAUACGUCCUGAGGGAGAAAGUGGGGGAUCUUCGGACCUCACGCUAUCAGAUGAGCCUAGGUCGGAUUAGCUAGUUGGUGGGGUAAAGGCCUACCAAGGCGACGAUCCGUAACUGGUCUGAGAGGAUGAUAGGUCACACUGGAAGUGAGACACGGUCCAGACUCCUACGGGAGGCAGCAGUGGGGAAUAUUGGACAAUGGGCGAAAGCCUGAUCCAGCCAUGCCGCGUGUGUGAAGAAGGUCUUCGGAUUGUAAAGCACUUUAAGUUGGGAGGAAGGGCAGUAAGUUAAUACCUUGCUGUUUUGACGUUACCAACAGAAUAAGCACCGGCUAACUUCGUG
rnacentral:rRNA from 1 species